UGAAUUCAUCUCCGGGGGUAGAGCACUGUUUCGGCUAGGGGGCCAUCCCGGCUUACCAACCCGAUGCAAACUGCGAAUACCGGAGAAUGUUAUCACGGGAGACACACGGCGGGUGCUAACGUCCGUCGUGAAGAGGGAAACAACCCAGACCGCCAGCUAAGGUCCCAAAGUCAUGGUUAAGUGGGAAACGAUGUGGGAAGGCCCAGACAGCCAGGAUGUUGGCUUAGAAGCAGCCAUCAUUUAAAGAAAGCGUAAUAGCUCACUGGUCGAGUCGGCCUGCGCGGAAGAUGUAACGGGGCUAAACCAUGCACCGAAGCUGCGGCAGCGACACUAUGUGUUGUUGGGUAGGGGAGCGUUCUGUAAGCCUGCGAAGGUGGCCUGUGAGGGUUGCUGGAGGUAUCAGAAGUGCGAAUGCUGACAUAAGUAACGAUAAAGCGGGUGAAAAGCCCGCUCGCCGGAAGACCAAGGGUUCCUGUCCAACGUUAAUCGGGGCAGGGUGAGUCGACCCCUAAGGCGAGGCCGAAAGGCGUAGUCGAUGGGAAACGGGUUAAUAUUCCCGUACUUGGUGUUACUGCGAAGGGGGGACGGAGAAGGCUAUGUUGGCCGGGCGACGGUUGUCCCGGUUUAAGCGUGUAGGUGUGUGUUCCAGGUAAAUCCGGUU
rnacentral:rRNA from 1 species